CCGCUUCCGGCUCCGCCCCCUCCCCUCGGCUCUUCAUCCGUGACGCGACGAAAGGGUGUGCCCGGAAGUGGUCCUGCCUACAAGUGCGAAGAAACGGCCAAAAGCACUUGUUGCCCCAACUCCUCCUAAUUAAGAAGAGGGAAGGCUCCCAAAGAUGAUUUCACAUGCCAAGGAAAACCUGAGCUCUGAAUCCUGGAGGGCAAAGGGUUUAUGACGAACACCCUGACAUGCUCAGUUAUAAAGAGCGCUGCUCGAACCCCACAGCUUCCUCGGCUGGAACAAACACUGGGUGGGCAUUAUGUUACAAUCCUGAGAAAGGGGCAAGCUGCACUGUCAAAUUAUUUCAUCUUCCCUUCGUACCAGGCCAGCCCUGGUUGCCUCGGCCUACCAGGGGUGACUAGUAUGGCAGGGAGGGUGCCUUCCUUCAGGUCUUGCUCAAGGUCAAGCCACGCCCCUGGCGCUUUAUUAAACACCGCUGACUCCUCAGCAGGUGGUAGAAAAGAGGGCUCUGCUCCUCUUCCACAGGCAAUAUCUUCCUAGCUUGCUGCGACUGAAAUUCACUUCUCCAGCCAGAUAAGCCCUGCUCGUACUCGAGCGGCAGAUCUGCAAGGCAAGCCCAGGGGUGAAAUGAAGUGGGGCUGGUGAUUCUGGGGAAGGGCGGCUCUUCCCUUUGUUAGUACAGUUAAUGCACUGGGUACUUCAUGGACAACUAAGUCAGCAGGACAAGCUCCCCGCCCUGAAGAGCUGAUACACGGAGCUUCUCUGCCCCGCCGACAUUCGCCUCUCCCCCAGGCUGGGAGCUCAGUCAGGCGCUGAGCUGGCACCUGGGAUUCCCCUGGAGCACAGUCCGCAAGAGCCAGAGGCCCGGGGGCCGGAAUGCUAGAACAACGUUGACAGUGGCGGCAGUGGGGGGGCAGGGAGAGGGCUGAAUGCCAUUGAACCAAACUGUAAUGCUUUCGGUUGCUACUAUUACCUCAACCCAGAGAUGCUGCCACACACCCAGCACUCCUCGUUCGAGCCCCUGAAGAGGGGCUGAGAUCUAGCAGGGCAGCGAGACCCCCGAGCAGCCCCAUGUGCUGCAUAGCAGCCGCCCGGAGAAUCCCACGGCCAGGGUACCAACCCUUGGGUUUAUCCCCAUGGGGCCGGGCAUGGCCAGUCACUUGCUCAGAAAUUCCACACAGAUCCCCCCCAGGACUCAGCUCAUUUCAGCACCGCCACCAUCCAAGCAGUAACAUUCGCAGGGAGCAGAGACAAGCCUGGCCUCUGUCUACAUGCCUCAAGGAUUCUGGGCAAGCCUGCUCUGGCUGGACGGCACGAAGGGUCCAGCCGAAGCGCACAGCCUCAGCUUCGUGCGGACGCCAACCCUCCCCCCAGGGCACCAGAGCGGCAGCUCCGGAUGCGGUGCGACUGCGCUCCCAACCAGAAAGGCAACUUACAGCCGUUAUGGAAGGCUUCUUCCCAUCCCCUGCUGGUGGGUGAGUGACAUCUGCACCCAGGAAGAUCACUGGCUGCUGAAAGACCGCCGAGCUGAUUGGAGAGAGGAGACAGGGGAAAGGUUUGCCGCUAUUCCAGUCAGAGUCACCGACUGCGCUGGGGUUACUCACAUUCGCAGCCACUGAGCUAUAGGGAGAGGGCAGACUGCAGUGAAGAAACCCCUCUCUGAAUCAGUCUGAAAAGGUCUCAGCCACUGCCUUUUCCUGUGGUUUGCACUGAUCUUUGCUCAUGGCGUUGCAACCCCUCUCUACCCUGGCUUGGGGCACCCGCCCCCCCAAAGUGUCACAAAUCAGCCACAUUUCUAAGCUGUUUGGGUUUAGAUGCAUCUUUGCACCAGAUCCCAGGGGUGAGCAAGGGCAAACUAACAGGAAAUACCGUGACAUGCCCAAACCAAACAUUUAGGCCCCAAUCUUGCAAACACUCAGGCAUGUGGUUAGCUUGACACACUGGGUAAAGUUAAGCAUGUGUUUCACAUGUAUGAAGUCACAUAUCUGCUUAAGUCUUUGCGUAACGGGGGCCUUAGUCUGAGUCAUUUAUCUUAGUGACAGAGAAAAAUACAGACUCAGGACCUGCCAGGAGUAGGGAUUCCUUUUCAGAACAGAAGGGGAGGGAUAGUUCAGUGGUUUGAGCAUUGGCCUGCUAAACCCAGGGUUGUGAGUUCAAUCCUUGAGGGGGCCAUUUAGGGAUCGGGGGCAAAAAUUGGGGAUUGGUCCUGCUUUGAGCAGGGGGUUGGACUAGAUGACCUCCUGAGGUCCCUUCCAACCCUGAUAGUCUAUGAUUCUAUGAACAGCCCCUGUACUAACUUUCUUCACCAGCUGCACAAGCUGCCUCUAUUGCAGAGUGGGAAUUCUUUAUUCACAUAGAACAUGGCUUCAAAGUUCUCUCCUUUUGACUCUUACGAGAUUAGACUGGUGGCCACAGCCUAGCUAGUGGCAUAUGCAGCAGCACGUAGCUCAGGUGUCUCGCAGGGGAGGACUGGUGGCAGAGCAUUCUCAGGGAGGGGCUUUUCGCUUUGAAAUUCAUUUCCUUGCCUCAAUUUGGAGCCUAGAUUCAGUGACCUUCAGGAUACUUUGCAAGACUUCUAUUUUUCCCUGGGGGAUAGGAAGGGAGGAGUUUGUUCUGGGGUAGGAAAGGUUUUUUUUGAGGCCUGAUCUGUUCCAGUGCCUUUUUGACAUGUUUCAAUCAGUGCUGGUCACUUGCCUAGUGACUCUAGCAAUGGGGGAGGGGGAGUGUCCAUGGCCAUUUCUGCAGUUGACUCAGUUUCCAGGUUCAUAUACAAGGCAGCACCUGGGCUAUAUUUCAUUCCCCUCCUCCCCCCUGCAUCCCAGAGACAGACAGGGGAUUUUAACAGCCACUUGCCAAGCUCUCCUACUGGUAAGGCCAGACAGAGAGAGGCUGGCACAGCAGGCUCUGCUGGGGACCCUGGUUUGGUCCCUUGAUCCCAGCCCCACAGGAGCAGAGCAGAAGCGGCAUGCUGGGAAACACGAGGGAGGAAAGCCCUGCAUUACUCUCCAGCAGCAGCUCCCCUCCUGACCUCUUCACCAGGGCAGAAAGGCCUAAGAGGGAAAGAGCCCACAGGGAUAAAGGGGAAGGGAAGAUGUGGAAGGCAUGGGGGGCAAGCCCAUCCCACUGUCACGGGGGCCCAAGGUGGGCAGGGGACUCGUACGUACCGCUGGUGAGGCACGAGGAUGUUGUUGAUCCCACCCAGCUUGACGUUGAUUUUGAGGCAGAGGUUGGACAGGGUUUGCGGGGAGGUUUUCACCACGUUCUUGACCUGAACGCACUGCGUGGCCAUCCCCAGGAGCGUGUCCCCGACACGCUUCACCUCCGCUGCCAGCAGAGAGGCAGAGCGUUAACACCGCAGCUCGGAAAGAAGGCACCUAAAGUACGUGUCUUUACAGGGAGAGCUGGGGCCACGAGUCGGGACUCCUGGGAUCUACUCCCAGCUCAAACAGAGAGACCUCGGGCAAGCCACUUCACUGCACCUCAGGGCGCCCAUCUGCAGAGCAGGGAUAAUUCUUCCCCACCACAGCGUUAAACUGAGAGAUUUAAUGCCUGUACAGCACCAACGCCCACAGACCCUUCAAGCCUUACGGCCACAGGGUCUACGUGGCAGGCUUUGCACGCAGAGGCAGAUCACUGAGUGGGAAGACGGGACACAGAUUAAAGGCUGUUCUAGGAGCAGCUCUCUUUACCCGUGUUCCCAGGCGGCUCUUAACAAUCCUAGACGCUUUUCACCAUUUCUAUUGCUCCCUUUUGCAUUUCAUCUCCGUCUGCAGGUCAGCUGUUGCUGCACUCCUGAAUCCCAUGCUUAUUCAUAGAGUCUAAGGCCAGAAGGGCCCAUUAAGAACCACCGGUCUGACCUCCUGCAUGGCACAGGCCAGAGAUCCCCACCCAGUGAUUUCUGCAUUGAGCCCAUAACUUCUAGUGGAGCUACUGCACCUCUUUUAGAAAGACAUUAAUUUGGGAUGUAAAGACGUCAAAUGAGGGAGAAUCCGCAUGCUCCUAAGUCAGUCAUCCCAAUGGCUAACACGCAGACACGGCUGGGAUACAAAUGCUGCUGAGGGGAUGUCCCAAUCCCACAAGAAGCUGCUUUCAUCGGAAUCCUUCUCUUUUUAGCAUGAAACAUUUCUAACCAACAUUGGCAUGGAUCUCCCCUCAUCCUGGCUCCAGAGCACGAGAUGGGAAUCAGCAGCUUGCAAGAUCAGUUCUCAAAUCGGGAGCGGAUGGUUUCUGGGCGGAGCAGCUGACACAAGAGACUAAAGAAUUUCUAUGACAGCCCUCCCCACAUGGAUGUACCAUACACAGGUGUUUUCCCUGGCAAGAUGACGAUGAUGAGCUGGAGCCCGGAGUAGGUAUUUUUAAGGUGUCGGAACAUUGGCUCCACGCUGUCCGCACCCUGUGCAUAUUUGCAGAAACAUGGCUGGCCUUGGAUCGGCAUCCCUGCAUCCUUCGAAAUCUUGCGCAGCUGGUCUGUGAAGUUCCUGUGCCAAGAGGGAAAGGAGAAGUCAGUCCCUAUGCACAUGUGGUUUCUCCUAAACACGGAGCACGGAGCAGCCAGCAGCUGGCGUGUGCAGCAUGGAACGGGAAAGGCGCCCAUUCCAUUCCCACUACUUAGCGGGAUACUGUGACACUGCAGCCUGACCGAUCCCAAGAGGAAUGGAGAAAGGGAGUCACUCCCCAGCCCUCAAUCAACAUGCCUUGUGACCAAGCACAGAAUGACUGACACGUGUAACAGCUGAGCGGAUCCAGCCUGGCAAAGAUCUUGCCCAUGCUGCGAGGAAUUUAUUUUGACGGGUGAAGUUACAAGCAGCUUUUAUUCAUGUGACAGGAAAGUGAGGGUGAGCAGAUUUGCCUUGCAGGCUGGUGGGUUUCCACAGUUUUGGGAGCACUGAUGUGACUUGUUCAUGUGUUGCCAAACUCGGGAGAAGUUAGCGUUCUGCAUGUGAUCAGCUCAUCCAGUGGCUUUAGGCAUCUUCCGUUUGAAGCAGACACACCCAAAAGCCUGAACUGGAAGCUCAGGAUGGCUACUCUCGACCUGCUCUUUAGAGAGGUCACAAAAGACAGAACUUCCCUUCGACUAGCUGCAACUCAAGUAGCCAAGUGUCCCCAAUAAACCUAUUCAGAAAUA